UACGGAGGAUGCAAGCGUUAUCCGGAAUUAUUGGGCGUAAAGGGUCCGCAGGUGGCUUAUUAAGUCUGCAGUGAAAGACCGGGGCUUAACCCUGGAAAGGCAGUGGAAACUGAGAAGCUAGAGUGUGGCAGGGGCAGAGGGAAUUCCCGGUGUAGCGGUGAAAUGCGUAGAUAUCGGAAGGAACAUCAGUGGCGAAAGCGGCUUCCUGGACCAAUACUGACGCUCAUGUGCGAAAGCGUGGGGAGCAAACAGG
rnacentral:rRNA from 1 species